GACGAACGCUGGCGGCGUGCUUAACACAUGCAAGUCGAACGAAGUGGCGAACGGGUGAGUAAUACUUGGGUAACCUGCCCUCCUUUUUGGGAUAAGCCUUGGAAACGGGGUCUAAUACCGAAUAAAGGGGGAUGGGCUCGGGGCUUAUCAGCUUGUUGGUGGGGUGAUGGCCUAACAAGGCGGUGACGGGUAGCCAGCCUGAGAGGGUGACCGGCCACAGUGAGACUGAGAUACGGCCCAGGCUCCUACGGGGGGGGGAAGUGUGGGAUAUUGGACAAUGGGCGAAAGCCUGAUGCGGCGACGGCGCGUGGGGGAUGAAGGCUUUCGGGUUGUAAACCUCUGUCGCUAUCGCAGGGUUAGGUAGAGAAGAAGCGCCGGCUAACUACGUGCCAGCAGCCGCGGUAAUUC
rnacentral:rRNA from 1 species